ACAUUGGUGGCUCAGUGGUAGGUAGAGUUCUUGCCUUCCAUGCGGAAGACCCAGGUUCAGCUCCUAGUUAAUGUA
rnacentral:tRNA from 1 species